CACCAUAAAUCAUCCUGGUGUAUAUAUGUUCACAUUAGUUAGGUUUUGGUAGAACAUGAAUAUCGAUAGCGAUGGACCAUCUGAUAAACAUCACUUGCGAACAAAUGGCCUUCAAAAACUGAUCUUUACAUGUUUCCUUCUAUUCCAUGUUGUAUAAUCUCAAAUCAAUGUUCAGUAUUGUACAAGUAUAUAGUAAACAAAUAUUAUUGUCUAUAUGUUUGAGUGAAGAAGAAUAUAGCAACAGGUAGGACCCCAAAAUGGAAUGGACCCCGUCCUUAUUUAAAAAAAAUAAAUAUAUAUAUAUAUAUGACUAUGAGAGUAAAAUUUUGAAAACGAGAAACAUAUGAUUCCCUUUUAUACAUAGUGACUAUACCUUUCAUUAUGGAUCACUUGGAAUAUAAGCAACUUGUUCAUUCACUGGCCACCCAACUUUAAUCAAGUAAGAGAAAAACAAAGUUAUAUACCUUCCAUCUUUUAAAAAGUCGUAAAUCGUACAAAUAAUAUAAUAUUUUUGGUUGCGUUUGAAAAAAUGUUAUAUUCGUAUACAUCAGAGUAGAUAGAAGAAAUUAUAUAUAUCAGAGUAGAUAGAAGAAAUUAUAACACAUAGAAAAAUGAUACAAUAUAGUUUCGUAAAAGCAUUUUGAAACUUAAAAAUGCAGAAGCAAGAUAAGAUAAGUCAUAUUACAUGUUUACAUGUAACUACUUACGAAGAAGAUUAUGGUUUUGCUAUCGACCUGCGACUUUAUUGUCGCCAUUGGUUAGGUGUUCAAUUUGCCAUUGUCUUUCAACAUCUCUAUGAUUUUUUUUAAUAUAGAUAAUGACAAGUAUGUGAAA
rnacentral:lncRNA from 1 species